ACUCCAAUCUGCAUUCCUUCCAGAGAGUUCAUUGAUAUUGGUCGUGUUGCCUCCAUUGAGAAUAACCAUCUACCUGUUGAUUAUGCAAGGAAGGGGCAGAAAGUAGCCAUUAAGGUGUUACUGUUAAGGCGUGUGGCGGUUGUUAAGGAUAGCAAUAUAGUUGAUACUCUUUCAUUUAGCAUACUGUCAUCUCAUUGAGUGUUGCAUCCCCGCCAACAAAGAUUUCCUUACUAUCAUCGUUCGAGGCAUGGCAACACCCCCGAGGUCCCCUCCACCACUAGAUUCUCCUACGGAAACCACAAAAAAGAAGACUAGACAAACUACCAGGAUGCGAAGGUUGACUGCCAAAAGCUUAGAUCAACCACGACCAACUGUCCACGUCAACCCUUCUACUGGUAGAGGAUCUGGCCCUCAUAAAGAAAAAUUUCAUAGUUACCUGGGGGUAGUGGCACGGGAGAAAAUCCCUAU